rnacentral:rRNA from 1 species
GGCUCUUUGAAAUCAACAUAUAAAGAGUCGAGCCUGCCCAGUGAUAAAAUUUAAACGGCCGCGGUACUCUGACCGUGCGAAGGUAGCAUAAUCAUUUGCCCUAUAAUUGAGGGCUUGUAUGAAUGGUUUGACAAGAGCAUAACUGUCUCCUUAAAAUUUUAUAGAAUUUGGUUUUUAGGUGAAGAAACCUAAAUAUUAUUGAAAGACAAGAAGACCCUAUCGAGCUUUAGAGCAAUUAACUAAUAAAUAUAAUUAAAAUAAUUAAUUUUAAUUAAAAACUUUGGUUGGGGCGACUGAGGAACAUAUAAAGCUUCCUUAAUUAAAACACGCUAAUAAGCAGUGAUCCAAAAAAAAUUUGAUUAAGAAAAUUAGUUACCGUAGGGAUAACAGCAUAAUCUUUUUUGAGAGCUCUCAUCGAAAAAAAGGCUUGUGACCUCGAUGUUGGACUAGGAUAUCCUAAAAGAUGCAGAAGUCUUUAAGGGCUGGUCUGUUCGACCAUUAAAAUCCU